GCAGGUAAUCUUAAACAAAAGCAACACUUAUUGAUUUCUACCUCAGCAACACCUUCUAAAGCACCUUCCUCCACAAAAUUUACCUCCUCUUUUCCCAUGCCGCUUAAAAUGGGUAUGCUCAAGUCACUGCAGUAACUUGAACUAUCAUCUUCCUUUCCUUUACGCCAGUGGGUGUCUGAGGAGUAAACAACAACCACAUAGAAAAUAUACAUGGACAAAAAUCCCAUUGCACCCCAAAUAUUGAUUUCUCCGUGAACCAAUAUGAAACUUAAGGAUGCAAGAACCAAAAGCAAGAAGCAAACAUCUCUAACAAAGGCACCUUUGUUAACUAUAAUCUUUUUUUGCUUCAAGAGAAUGCUCAUGAUUCCAACCACAACACAGGUAACAAAGGAAGCACCACCUAGCACUGUAUUGAAGCCAAUGUCACCUGUCCCACUACCCAUAAAGGAUACCAGACUGGAAAAUACAUCUGGGGCACCGUUGCCAAGAGAAAGGAGAGUAACCCCAGCAAUUGUAGGGGAUAGUUUCAAUAGAGUGGAUAAAUUUUCAAGGGAAGAACAAAAGUAUUCAGAGGCUGUGUUCCCUAACAAAUAGAACAACACUAGAAGCCAGAGAAAUAGAAGACAAUGGCCCAAAAGAGGAAUUCUUCCAAAAUUGCAAUAGAAAAGGUGGAGAUAGUCAAUAUAACCUUCAGAGACACAAGGAUUAAUAUGUGAUUUAAGGUAAUGGCACUUGGCUCGGUAGUCUUCUAGACUUUCCAACCCUUUGCAGUCCUGUUGACUAUCGUCAUUAGACGGUUGUGCACUGUUAGGAACAAGAAAUCGAGCAGGGUUGAACUGUAAAAUCAAGAAAACGCAUGCCACUAACAGAAAUGAGAUAUUAAAGAAAAUUAUGUAUCUUCUGUUCUCAGAUAUAGAGACCAAGAUACCCAUUAAAGGAACUCAAUCAAAUUCUCUCUGAAACGCAAGAACAUGAAUUGUAAAUCAUGAUUCAGGAACUUGGUCAAUGAGUAUCAAGCUAAUAGUUGAUCAAGGGCAACUUUGGACUGAACCACAUCAGAGAGAGACGGAGAAGAAAUAACCCAUUAGGAGAGAAGUCGAUUAAAGCAAAAUUCUUUUUCCUCUUCCAAUACGUGUAUAGUUUAGCAGGCUAAUCAAGAAUAUGAACAGAAUAUAAAGAAAUUGGUGACUCGAUACAGUGUAUGAACUAGAAAAUGUUGACCCGGCUAAGGAAGCUCCCUAGUACACAGGUC
rnacentral:misc_RNA from 1 species